GAAAAUAACAACAUUUCUUUAUAGCAAACAGUCAAGAUUCAAGGGUUUGGAGAGUAGACACUAACCAUGGAUUUUUGGCUACACUUAGUGAUUUUAACCUUCUUAAGAAUUGGGGUGAGCGGUAAACAGACAGUGCAGCAGAGUCCUCAGUCCUUGAAGCUCCAGGAGGGAAAGAGCACUGCUUUCAACUGUAGUUACUCAGACAGUGCUUUCCAAGGGCUCCAAUGGUUCAAACAGGAAUUUGGGGAAGGCUUCACCUCCUUGUUUUCCAUUGCUUCUGGGGAGAAAGUGAGAGGAAGAUUAAAAUGCACAGUCAACCGGAAUGAGCGACUCAGCAUCUUGUACAUCACGGCCUCCCAGCCUGGAGACUCGGGCACCUACUUCUGCGGCGUGGAAGCACAGUGAUCCCCAGGCACCUGCAGACUGUGCACAAACCCUGCACCUGGAAGGCAGGCAGCCAUCCUGCCAGGGAGCACAUGAUGGCAUUCUACCAGUGGUUAUUUUAGGUUCAUUCUUCCAGGUUCACACUGAGGGCUUUAAAAUAUAUGUGUAUUCUGCCUCCCUCUGUUUCCCAGGAGCUCUCACUGGGGACUUGGUUGGCUCCGUAUAGUUUGUUAAUUCAUCUUGCGAAUCAUAGUUUGAACCUCUUACCCAUUUCAAGGGCAUUGUUAUAUAAUCCCUUGCUAGUGCAUUUCUAGUCUCCUCCAUGUACUAGCAGACAGAGUAUAUAUGUGUACAUAGGAAUGUGUGUUUGUAUUUGAACCUACUACAUAUUUAUAUAUCACAUUACAUAUUACAUAUGCAUACACAUGUAUACCACUAUAUAGUAGGAAUAUGUAUGUAAUUUGUAUUGUGAAUAUGUGAUCUAUAAUAUGCAUAAAUAUAUAUGUAUAACUUUGGACUGGAAUCUACUAAUGUUACAUAUUUUUAUAUCACAUAUACACAUAUAUACUAUAUAGUGGGAGCACU